CCAAUAGCGUAUAUUAAAGUUGUUGCAGUUAAAAAGCUCGUAGUUGAAUUUCGGGAUUGACGUGAUGGUCGUGCCUUACGGGGUAUGAACUGUCGCAGUUGAUUUCUCACCUUCUGGAGAAGCUCGAUGUCCUUAAUUGGGUGUCUUGCGGAACCAGGACCUUUACCUUGAAAAAAUUAGAGUGUUUAAAGCAGGCAUUUUGCUCGAAUACAUUAGCAUGGAAUAAUAGAAUAGGACGGCAUGGUUCUAUUUUGUUGGUUUCUAGGAUCACCGUAAUGAUUAAUAGGGAUAGUUGGGGGCAUUAGUAUUCAAUUGUCAGAGGUGAAAUUCUUGGAUUUAUUGAAGACUAACUACUGCGAAAGCAUUUGCCAAGGAUGUUUUCAUUAAUCAAGAACGAAAGUUAGGGGAUCGAAGACGAUCAGAUACCGUCGUAGUCUUAACCAUAAACUAUGCCGACUAGGAAUCAGACGAUGUUAAUUUUUUAAUGACUCGUUUGGCACCUUACG
rnacentral:ncRNA from 2 species